GUGCUCGCUUCGGCAGCACAUAUUCUAAAAUUGGAAAGAUACAGAAUAUUAGCAUGACCCCUGUGCAAGGAUGACACUCAAAUUCAAGAAGAGUUCCAUAUUAAA
rnacentral:snRNA from 1 species